rnacentral:rRNA from 1 species
AACGAACGCUGGCGGCGUGCCUAACACAUGCAAGUCGAGCGGGAAAGUUCCCUUCGGGGAGCGAGUACAGCGGCGAACGGGUGAGUAACACGUAGGUAACCUACCCUGGAGAUCGGGAUAACCUGCCGAAAGGCGGGCUAAUACCGGAUAAGACCACGAGGGCUGCGGCCCUUGAGGAAAAAGAUGGCCUCUGCUUGCAAGCUAUCACUCUGGGAUGGGCCUGCGCGCCAUUAGCAGUUGGUGAGGUAACGGCUCACCAAGGCUGAGAUGGCUAGCUGGUCUGAGAGGAUGGCCAGCCACACUGGGACUGAGACACGGCCCAGACUCCUACGGGAGGCAGCAGUGGGGAAUAUUGCGCAAUGGGCGAAAGCCUGACGCAGCGACGCCGCGUGAGGGAUGACGGCC